rnacentral:sRNA from 1 species
UCACUAAAAAACUCCAGCCGCACACAGCCG